CCUACUCUAUACUGAGUUCUGACUAAUUUUGAGUCAUAGGUUCAAGGUUUUAGCAACACUGACUGAAAUACCUCUCAAAUCUGAAUCUCUCUCUCUUUCCUUCAGGUCACCAAGUUCAGAUUUUCAGUCAACUUAGAUGUUGGACAAGAAGGGACGACAACUCGUGGAUUCAUUGCUGCUGUUGUUGGAGGGUUAAUAGGAGUGUUAGCAGUGCUCCUCCUGGUUCUGGCAGUAGGAUGCCGGCAUCGUGUGAUGCGUCUCUGUGGGUACGAGUCUGUCAUCGGGCACCAGGGCAAUCAGCUGCAGGGAGGCGCUGAGGCUGGCGAUGGCAUCCUGCAGCAGGACAACGACCCCCACCAAGGUCAGGUGUCCAAGGCGCAGGGUCAGGUCACUCAGCAGCUGCUCCAGCUCAGCCAGGACCUGCCAGACGGCAAC